rnacentral:rRNA from 1 species
GAUGAAUGCUGGCGGCGUGCCUAACACAUGCAAGUCGAGCGGUAACAGGAGUAGUUUACUACUUGCUGACGAGCGGCGGACGGCUGAGUAACGCGUGGGAACAUGCCCCAAAGUGAGGGAUAAGCUCCAGAAAUGGAGUCUAAUACCGCAUAUGAUCUUCGGAUUAAAGGAUUUAUCCGCUUUGGGAGUGGCCUGCGUACGAUUAGAUAGUUGGUGAGGUAAUGGCUCACCAAGUCGACGAUCGUUAACUGGUCUGAGAGGAUGAUCAGUCAGACUGGAACUGAGACACGGUCCAGACUCCUACGGGAGGCAGCAGUGAGGAAUCUUCCACAAUGGGGGCAACCCUGAUGGAGCAACGCCGCGUGCAGGAUGAAGGCCUUCGGGUCGUAAACUGCUUUUAUAAGUGAAGAAUAUGACGGUAACUUAUGAAUAAGCACCGGCUAACUACGUGCCAGCCGCCGCGGUAA